rnacentral:rRNA from 1 species
GAUGAACGCUAGCUACAGGCUUAACACAUGCAAGUCGAGGGGAAACGAUAUUGGAAGCUUGCUUCCGAUAGGCGUCGACCGGCGCACGGGUGAGUAACGCGUAUCCAACCUGCCCAUCACUUGGGGAUAACCUUGCGAAAGUAAGACUAAUACCCAAUGACGUCUCUAGAAGACAUCUGAAAGAGAUUAAAGAUUUAUCGGUGAUGGAUGGGGAUGCGUCUGAUUAGCUUGUUGGCGGGGUAACGGCCCACCAAGGCGACGAUCAGUAGGGGUUCUGAGAGGAAGGUCCCCCACAUUGGAACUGAGACACGGUCCAAACUCCUACGGGAGGCAGCAGUGAGGGAAUAUUUGGGUCCAAAUGGGACGAGAGUCUGAACCAGCCAAGUAGCGUGCAGGAUGACGGCCCUAUGGGUUGUAAACUGCUUUAUAAGGGAAUAAGUGAGUCUCGUGAGAC